rnacentral:rRNA from 1 species
GACGAACGCUGGCGGCGUGCUUAACACAUGCAAGUCGAACGGAAAGGCCCUGCUUGUGUGGGGUUCUCGAGUGGCGAACGGGGGAGUAACACGAAUGUAGCCGGCCCUAGACUUUGGGAGAACUUCAGGAAACUGGGGCUAAUACCGGAUAGGAUCUCCUGCAGCAUGGUGGGGGUUGGAAAGUUUAGGCGGUUGGGGAUGGACGCGCGGCUUAUCAGCUAGUUGGUUGGGGAGUGGCAUACCAAGGGUUUGACGGGUAGCCGGCCUGGGAGGGUGAACGGGCACAUUGGGACUGAGGUACGGCCCAGACGCCUACGGGAGGCAGCAGGGGGGAAUAUUGCACAACGGGCGGAAGCCUGAUGCAGCAACGCCGCGGGCGGGAUGACGGCCUGCGGGUUGUAAACCGCUUUCGCCUGUGACGAAGCGUGAGUGACGGUAAUGGGUAAAGAAGCACCGGCUAACUACGUG